GACGAACGCUGGCGGCGUGCUUAACACAUGCAAGUCGAGCGGUAAGGCCCUUUCGGGGGUACACGAGCGGCGAACGGGUGAGUAACACGUGGGUGACCUGCCCUCAGCUCUGGGAUAAGCCUGGGAAACUGGGUCUAAUACUGGAUAUGACUCCACGGUGCAUGUCGUGGGGUGGAAAGCCUUGUGCGGCUGAGGAUGGGCCCGCGGCCUAUCAGCUUGUUGGUGGGGUGGUGGCCUACCAAGGCGACGACGGUAGCCGGCCUGAGAGGGCGACCGGCCACACUGGGACUGAGACACGGCCCAGACUCCUACGGGAGGCAGCAGUGGGGAAUCUUGCGNAAUGGGCGAAAGCCUGACGCAGCGACGCCG
rnacentral:rRNA from 1 species